rnacentral:misc_RNA from 1 species
UUAAGUUCAGCGGGUAUCCCUACCUGAUCCGAGGUCAACCUGAAAAAUUGGGGUUAUUGGCAAGUAACCACCUGGAUCUCCAAAGCGAGAAGAAUUACUACGCUUGAAGCCAAGUGGCACCGCCACUGAUUUUAAGACCUGCCAGAAACUGGCAAUGUCCAAUACCAAGCAAAGCUUGAGGGUUGUAAUGACGCUCCGAA